CGAUGUGAGGGUGAUCUGGCUGCGACAUCUGUCACCCCAUUGAUCGCCAGGGUUGAUUCGGCUGAUCUGGCUGGCUAGGCGGGUGUCCCCUUCCUCCCUCACCGCUCCAUGUGCGUCCCUCCCGAAGGUGCGCCCUCGGUGGAAGAGGACAACCAUCCCAGAGAGAAGGAGUGUACCAUUCUUCGGUCAAGGGUAUACGAUAGCUGCGCUCCCCUGCUAGAACCUCCAAACAAGCUUUGAUUAAUAUGCAGCUUUGUGGAAAUAUCCUUGUCUAAUAUAAUGCAUUUGUAUGUUAUUUUU